ACGGGGCGCAGCAGGCGCGAAACCUUUACAAUGCACGAAAGUGUGAUAAGGGAAUUCCACGUGCAAGCUAUGCUUGCUUUUCUCAAGUCUAAACCGCUUGGGGAAUAAGGGCUGGGCAAGACCCGUGCCAGCCGCCGCGGUAACACGGGCAGCUCGAGUGGCGUUCGCGUAUAUUGGGCCUAAAGCGUACGUAGCCGGUUAAAUAAGUUCUUGGUGAAAGCAUGCGACUCAAUCGUGUGAGUUGCCAGGAAAACUGUUUGACUUGGGACCGGAAGAGGUCGGAGGUAUUCCAGGGGUAGGGGUAAAAUCCUGUAAUCCUUGGAGGACCAUCGGUGGCGAAGGCGUCCGACUGGGACGGGUCCGACGGUGAGGUACGAAAGCUAGGGGAGCGACCCGGAUUAGAUACCCGGUUAGUCCUAGCCGUAAAUGAUGUCUGUUUGGUAUUGCUGGGCUUACGAGGCCUCGCAGUGCCGUAGGGAAGCCGUUAAACAGACCGCCUGGGGAGUACGGCCGCAAGGCUGAAACUUAAAGGAAUUGGCGGGGGAGUACUACAAGGGGUGGAGGCUGCGGUUUAAUUGGAUACAACGCCG
rnacentral:rRNA from 1 species